UCAGAGUGAGAUUAAGCCAUGCGAGUUAACGUAGCAAUACGUGGCGCACGGCUCAGUAACACGUAGUCAACAUGCCCAGAGGACGUGGAUAACCUCGGGAAACUGAGUMUAAACCGCGAUAAGUGAGGAUUUCUGGAAUGGUUCCUGACUAAAAUCUAUAUGGCCUCUGGAUUGGACUGCGGCCGAUCAGGCUGUUGGUGAGGUAAUGGCCCACCAAACCUGUAACCGGUACGGGCUCUGAGAGGAGGAGCCCGGAGAUGGGCACUGAGACAAGGGCCCAGGCCCUAUGGGGCGCAGCAGGCGCGAAACCUCUGCAAUAGGCGAAAGCCUGACAGGGUU
rnacentral:rRNA from 1 species